ensembl:snRNA U6 U6 spliceosomal RNA
GUGCUCGCUUCAGCAGCACUUAUCCUAAAAUUGGAAUGAUACAGAGUAGAUUAGCAUGCCCCCUGCACAAGGAAUACACACAAAUUUGUGAAGCAUUCUGUAUUUUU